GACAGAGGGUGCAAACGUUGUUCGGAAUUACUGGGCGUAAAGGGCGCGUAGGUGGCGCGGGAAGUCAACGGUGAAAGUUCGGGGCUCAACCCUGAAUCGGCCGUCGAUACUCCCGGGCUCGAGCACUGUAGAGGCAGAUGGAAUUCCGGGUGUAGCGGUGGAAUGCGUAGAGAUCCGGAAGAACACCGGUGGCGAAGGCGGUCUGCUGGGCAGUUGCUGACACUGAGGCGCGACAGCGUGGGGAGCAAACAGG
rnacentral:rRNA from 1 species